rnacentral:rRNA from 1 species
CGGAAGUUUUGUAGUACCUCGGUACGUCACGGAGUGAACGACGUGGCGGCGGUGCCUACACAUGCAAGUCGAACGGGGCGGCGCAGGCUGAGGCUUUUCGGUAGCGGAAGCCGGCGGCUGCCCACGUGGCGGACGGGUGAGUAACGCGUGGGCGAACCUGCCCUGCACUGGGGGACGAACAAGCCGGAAACGGCUGCUAAUACCGCAUAUGCCCGCAGCCCCGCAUGGGGCGGCGGGGGAAGGCUCCGGCGGUGCAGGAUGGGCCCGCGUCUGAUUAGCUGGUUGGCGGGGCAACGGCCCACCAAGGCGACGAUCAGUAGCCGGCCUGAGAGGGUGGGCGGCCACAUUGGGACUGAGACACGGCCCAGACUCCUACGGGGGGGCAGCAGUGGGGGAUAUUGCACAAUGGGGGGAACCCUGAUGCAGCGACGCCGCGUGGGCGAUGGAGUGCUUCGGCAUGUAAAGCCCUAUCAGCAGGGAAGAAAAUGACGGUACCUGACUAAGAAGCCCCGGCUAAAUACGUG